rnacentral:rRNA from 1 species
UGGGGAAUCUUGCACAAUGGGGGAAACCCUGAUGCGGCGACGCCGCGUGAACGAUGAAGCCCUUCGGGGUGUAAAGUUCUUUCGACAGGAACGAUAAUGACGGUACCUGGAGAAGAAGCUGCGGCUAACUACGUGCCAGCAGCCGCGGUAAUACGUAGGCAGCGAGCGUUGUUCGGAGUUACUGGGCGUAAAGAGUGCGUAGGCGGCGAGCCAAGUUUGGUGUGAAAUCUCCCGGCUUAACCGGGAGGGUGCGCCGAAAACUGGUUGGCUGGAGUAUGGGAGAGGAAAGCGGAAUUCCUGGUGUAGCGGUGAAAUGCGUAGAUAUCAGGAGGAACACCUGCGGUGUAGACAGCUUUCUGAACCAAAACUGACGCUGAGGCACGAAAGCGUGGGGAGCGAACA